UGGGGAAUAUUGGACAAUGGGCGGAAGCCUGAUCCAGCAACGCCGCGUGAGGGAUGACGGCCUUCGGGUUGUAAACCUCUUUCAGUACCGACGAAGCGCCCGUUGUGGGUGGUGACGGUAGGUACAGAAGAAGCACCGGCCAACUACGUGCCAGCAGCCGCGGUAAUACGUAGGGUGCGAGCGUUGUCCGGAAUUAUUGGGCGUAAAGGGCUCGUAGGCGGUUUGUCGCGUCGGGAGUGAAAACACCGGGCUUAACUCGGUGCUUGCUUUCGAUACGGGCAGACUAGAGGUAUGCAGGGGAGAACGGAAUUCCUGGUGUAGCGGUGAAAUGCGCAGAUAUCAGGAGGAACACCGGUGGCGAAGGCGGUUCUCUGGGCAUUACCUGACGCUGAGGAGCGAAAGUGUGGGGAGCGAACA
rnacentral:rRNA from 1 species